rnacentral:rRNA from 1 species
GUUUGUACCCGAAAUCAUCUUAGCUAACUCGCAAGAGAGGCGGAUGCUGAAGGUAUGGAGAGUGAUUGGGGUGAAGUCGUAACAAGGUAGCCGUAGGUGAACCUGCAGAAGGAUCA